AGUGAGCAGUGGGUCAGUUAUGCUAGGCUAACUGUUGCUAGCCUAACUGUUGCUAGCCUAACUGUUGCUAGGCUAACUGUUGCUAGGCUAACUGUUAGCCUGCUACUGACUUUGAUAGCUUUAGCAUGUGCUGCGCAGUUCGGUGUGUUUUGGUUCCGUUGGCACUAAUCAACCCGCCACCACGUCAUCAGCAGAGCAGCUGUUUAAAUCAGCUAAUCAACCGCCGCUGUGCUCAGAUCCGCCCCUGCUGGUUAGGAUGGAGGAUCCCUGCUGAGGACUUCACGUCCCACCAGGAGGAGACCAGACGGAGACCCGGGACAGACGGAGACCCGGGACAGACGGAGACCCGGGACAGGCUGGAGGGACGAUGUUCCUCUGCUGGGAAGCCUCAGGAUUCCUGGAGGAAACGGACCGGGAGGCUGGGAGGGAAAUCUGGGCUGCUGACCGAUCCGACAUGGACCAGAGGGAGGAGGAUGUUUCAGAAAUGCAAUAAACCUUAAAAUGAGCUGCUUGUAAAGUUACACAGUGAAACAUUAAAGCAGUAAUUUGGUUUAUUGAUGCUGAAAACACGCUGCGUUGUUUUACAGUGUAAUAAACUCUAAAAUGUUAUUAAACUACAGAUUUAACUUCA